GACGAACGCUGGCGGCGUGCUUAACACAUGCAAGUCGAACGAUGAAGCCGGAGCUUGCUCUGGUGAAUUAGUGGCGAACGGGUGAGUAACACGUGAGUAACCUGCCCUUGACUCUGGGAUAACUGCUAGAAAUGGUAGCUAAUACCGGAUACGACCCUCGGAGGCAUCUCCAGGGGGUGGAAAGAAUUUCGGUCAAGGAUGGACUCGCGGCCUAUCAGCUAGUUGGUGAGGUAACGGCUCACCAAGGCGAGGACGGGUAGCCGGCCUGAGAGGGGGACCGGCCACACUGGGACGGAGACACGGCCCAGACUCCUACGGGAGGCAGCAGUGGGGAAUAUUGCACAAUGGGCGCAAGCCUGAUGCAGCAACGCCGCGUGAGGGAUGACGGCCUUCGGGUUGUAAACCUCUUUUAGUAGGGAAGAAGCGAAAGUGACGGUACCUGCAGAAAAAGCACCGGCUAACUACGUGCCAGCAGCCGCCGUAACAC
rnacentral:rRNA from 1 species